CCCUGACAGUCGCAUGGUGCGGCUGACAUUUGCCACGACAGGAGAUUCUCAUG
rnacentral:ncRNA from 1 species